AGAAGUGCCUUUCACCUCAUGCCAUGAUUCUGAGGCCUCCCCAGCCAUGCAGAACUAGAUAGAGUUUUGCUCUUGUUGCCCAGGCUGGAGUGCAAUGGCGCAAUCUUGGCUCACCGCAACCUCCACCUCCCGAGUUCAAGCGAUUCUCCUCCCACAACCUCCCGAGUAGCUGGGAUUACAGGCACCCGCCACCACGCCUGGCUAAUUUUGUAUUUUUAUUAGAGACGGGGUUUCUCCACGUUGGUCAGGCUAGUCUCGAACUCCUGACCUCAGGUGAUCCGCCCACAUUGGCAUCCCAAAGUGCUGGGAUUACAGGCGUGAUAAAUUGACCAUCUUAUACCAGGAAGUCAAAUGAGAAGACAUCAGUAAAAAUAUUCUGGCCAACUCAUGUUUUAUUUAUCAUAUCUUCAUCAUUAAUUGCUUCUCAUAAUGCCACAGUUUGUCAUGGUAUUUGUGGCAGCAGGCAAAGUCCUUGUUCAGACUUUGAUUAAAUUGCUGUGGCAUUUUUCUAUUAAAAAGAUCUCCUGUUUCAAUCUAUAGUUU
rnacentral:lncRNA from 1 species